UACGAAGGGGGCGAGCGUUGUUCGGAUUUACUGGGCGUAAAGGGCGCGCAGGCGGCCAUCUUUGUCAGGCGUGAAAUCCCCGGGCUUAACCUGGGAACUGCAUUUGUGACUGCAAGGCUGGAGUGCGGCAGAGGGGGAUGGAAUUCCGCGUGUAGCAGUGAAAUGCGUAGAGAUGUGGAGGAAUACCGAUGGCGAAGGCAGCCCCCUGGGAUGAUACUGACGCUCAUGCACGAAAGCGUGGGGAGCAAACAGG
rnacentral:rRNA from 1 species